CUAAUACAUGCAAGUCGAACGCUUUGUGGUUCAACUGAUUUGAAGAGCUUGCUCAGAUAUGACGAUGGACAUUGCAAAGAGUGGCGAACGGGUGAGUAACACGUGGGAAACCUACCUCUUAGCAGGGGAUAACAUUUGGAAACAGAUGCUAAUACCGUAUAACAAUGACAACCGCAUGGUUGUUAUUUAAAAGAUGGUUCUGCUAUCACUAAGAGAUGGUCCCGCGGUGCAUUAGCUAGUUGGUAAGGUAAUGGCUUACCAAGGCGAUGAUGCAUAGCCGAGUUGAGAGACUGAUCGGCCACAAUGGGACUGAGACACGGCCCAUACUCCUACGGGAGGCAGCAGUAGGGAAUCUUCCACAAUGGGCGAAAGCCUGAUGGAGCAACGCCGCGUGUGUGAUGAAGGGUUUCGGCUCGUAAAACACUGUUGUAAGAGAAGAAUGACAUUGAGAGUAACUGUUCAAUGUGUGACGGUAUCUUACCAGAAAGGAACGGCUAAAUACGUGCCAGCAGCCGCGGUAAUACGUAUGUUCCAAGCGUUAUCCGGAUUUAUUGGGCGUAAAGCGAGCGCAGACGGUUAUUUAAGUCUGAAGUGAAAGCCCUCAGCUCAACUGAGGAAUUGCUUUGGAAACUGGAUGACUGAGGCA
rnacentral:rRNA from 1 species